rnacentral:rRNA from 1 species
UACGAAGGGGGCUAGCGUUGCUCGGAAUUACUGGGCGUAAAGGGCGCGUAGGCGGUUCGUACAGUCAGACGUGAAAUUCCCGGGCUCAACCUGGGGGCUGCGUUUGAUACGUGCGGGCUUGAGUUCGGAAGAGGGUCGUGGAGUUCCCAGUGUAGAGGUGAAAUUCGUAGAUAUUGGGAAGAACACCGGUGGCGAAGGCGGCGACCUGGUCCGAUACUGACGCUGAGGCGCGAAAGCGUGGGGAGCAAACAGG